rnacentral:rRNA from 1 species
GAAGGCCCCACUGUCUUAAGAGAAUUCCCAGUGAAAUUGAAUUCGUAGUGAAGAUGCUACGUCCAAUUUGUUAGACGAAAAGACCCCAUUGAGCUUUACUGGAGUCUUACAUUGCUCGGAUCAACUCUCGCCCCCCCCUUGGCGGGGGGGUCGAAUUUAAAUGGAUAGCUUAGAUUAUGUGGUGUCAUAACCGUCGAUCAAGUAGUCCUUACAGGAUUACCCCCCCGAAGGUUGACCUAUUUGGGUGAAUGAAACCCCACUCUUCUUUGUUAAAUGAGCUAACCCUUUUCUCCCUUAAAGGGGACAAUGUAAGUUGGACAGUUUGGUUGGGGCGACCGCCUUUUAAAGAGUAACGAAGGUGUGCUUAAGGUACAUAAUUUAUAACACAAGCCUGACUGCGAGGGGGACCCUCCGAGCAGACACCUAAAGUCUUCUCCCUUCCCCCCGAAGGUUAAAGACGAAUUGGGUUAUAGUGACCCGUUAAUUUAGAGUGGAAUAGUUAACGAUCAACGAAUAAAAGUUACCAUGGGGA